CCUACGGGAGGCAGCAGUGAGGAAUAUUGGUCAAUGGGCGGGAGCCUGAACCAGCCAAGUCGCGUGAGGGAAGACGGUCCUAUGGAUUGUAAACCUCUUUAGGCGGGGAGCAAUGCCGGGCACGCGUGCCCGGAGGGAGAGUACCCGCAGAAUACGCCUCGGCAAACUCCGUGCCAGCAGCCGCGGUAAUACGGAGGAUGCGAGCGUUAUCCGGAUUUAUUGGGUUUAAGGGGUGCGUAGGCGGAUUUUUAAGUCAGCGGUAAAAUGUCCGGGCUCAACCCGGGCCGGCCGUUGACACUGGAGAUCUUGAGUGGGCGAGAAGUAGGCGGAAUGCGUGGUGUAGCGGUGAAAUGCAUAGAUAUCACGCAGAACACCGAUGGCGAAGGCAGCAUACCGGCGCCCGACUGACGCUGAGGCACGAAAGCGUGGGUAUCGAACAGGAUUAGAUACCCCUGUAGUC
rnacentral:rRNA from 1 species